rnacentral:misc_RNA from 1 species
UUGAUUGAUUUGUAUUCAAUACUCGACGCAAAGAUGCAGGGUUGGUUGGUCCUCUGGGGGACUCCCGGGCGCGGACGGCCGGGUCGCCCCCCGAGGCAACAGUUAAAAUAUCGACAAAGGGUUGGAGGUCGGGCGCGGGGGCCCUCACUCGGUAAUGAUCCCUCCGCAGGUUCACCUACGGAGA